GACGAACGCUGGCGGCGUGCUUAACACAUGCAAGUCGAACGGAAAGGCCCUGCUUUUGUGGGGUGCUCGAGUGGCGAACGGGUGAGUAACACGUGAGUAACCUGCCCUUGACUUUGGGAUAACUUCAGGAAACUGGGGCUAAUACCGGAUAGGAGCUCCUGCUGCAUGGUGGGGGUUGGAAAGUUUCGGCGGUUGGGGAUGGACUCGCGGCUUAUCAGCUUGUUGGUGGGGUAGUGGCUUACCAAGGCUUUGACGGGUAGCCGGCCUGAGAGGGUGACCGGCCACAUUGGGACUGAGAUACGGCCCAGACUCCUACGGGAGGCAGCAGUGGGGAAUAUUGAACAAUGGGCGGAAGCCUGAUGCAGCAACGCCGCGUGCGGGAUGACGGCCUUCGGGUUGUAAACCGCUUUCGCCUGUGACGAAGAGUGAGUGACGGUAAUGGGUAAAGAAGCAACGGCUAACUACGUG
rnacentral:rRNA from 1 species